rnacentral:rRNA from 1 species
UACGGGGGGGGCAAGCGUUGUUCGGAAUUACUGGGCGUAAAGGGCUCGUAGGCGGCCAACUAAGUCGGACGUGAAAUCCCCAGGCUCAACCUGGGAACUGCGUCCGAUACUGGAUGGCUUGAAUCCGGGAGAGGGAUGCAGAAUUCCAGGUGUAGCGGUGAAAUGCGUAGAUAUCUGGAGGAAUACCGGUGGCGAAGGCGGCAUCCUGGACCGGCAUUGACGCUGAGGUGCGAAAGCGUGGGGAGCAAACAGG